AGGGCUUUCUAGUAUUGUAAAAUGUAAGCUACAUUAUCAUAGUGAAAGUCUUGAAAGUACUCAACGUGUACAUUGUAUCCUAAUUCUCUAUACAUUAUUUAUUUUUAUUCUCACAAGCUUUAUUCUCUUGUAAAAUGUAACCUACAUUAUCAUAAUGAAAAUCUCGAAACUACUCAAAGUGUAUGUAACCCGACUUCAGUAAACCACAAUGCUUCACUCUUGUUCUUGGUGUAAUUAUGUCGGUCUUACUUUGUUGUGCCAAAUUUUGGGUCAUCAACAAAUGGUGAGCAAGAGAUUGAACUACAUAUCACUAUCUUUGGCUUUAUACAUUCUACAUUGUUGUUCUACUCUCAUCCCGCAAUGUGGUUUGGUGGUCAUAAUUGUUCAUUUUUUAUUACCUUUUCAAAUAUCAUGGUUUGAUAAGGUUCUUGUGCCCGUGGUCUAACUUCACUGACAUCCCAAUCUUCAAGAGGCUUGUACAAGAGCUGACUGGAAAUGGAAUAAGCUCAAUUACUUCAUCACACCCCCAAAAACGCAGACUAGUUGAGGAUGGUUUUGUACUCUAGAAAAUGAUUUGAGUAUGAAGUAAGUUGUGAAUUUGUUGGUUGUAAUUAGGUUAACAAUGUUCAAAAAAUGCAAAAGGAAAGAGAAUUAUGCCUAGACCCAAACCAACCAAAUCAAACCGUCUUAAAUUGAUUUGGUUUGGUUGGAUUUUCUAAAAUGACUUUUGUCAAAACUAAACUGAACCAAACUUUUAUAUUGUAAUUUGUUCUGCCACAAUUUUGAAAUGAAGCUAAUCCAAUUCGGACCAUGCCCACCCCAGCGUUGUAUGAAUUUCCUUAGAAACGAAGUCAUAAGUUCAGGGCUAAACCAACUACUCCAAGAGCACUCAUCCAACCUACAAACACGAAAACAAUUCAUUGUGAAAGUAGAAAUGGGCCUUGUAUUACGUAUAGACCAUACUGUACUUAUGUCCCAACGAGAUCUAUCCAUUAAUACUUUUGGGGCCCUAUACAAAAUCGUACACCUUCAUUUAUAAUGCAUUUUCUCCUAUGCUUGCAAAGGUUUGUAUUCUUUUAUGCCUUUGUUUUGUGCCUUCAGUUUGGUUUAUUAUUUGGUAGACACUCUUGUCUAGUGUUGUGCAAUGUUCCUUGAUAUUUUUUUAGCACCUUUGAAUUGCUAUUUUGUGGGCCUCAAGUUUUUAUUAACAAAAUAUUCAUUCAAUUAUAAAUAAAUAAAAUAUUUUUUUUUGAGAGGCCUACACCUUGAAUUUAUGCCCUAUUU
rnacentral:lncRNA from 1 species